GAAGUCAUGCUCCUCUUACAGUCCUCUAGUGUAGUCCCCAGGGCCCUCAGGCCUCCAUCCCCCCUCCAGCCUCAGUGCCUGCCUUCCCCUCCAUGUAUCCUUUGCUCCAGCCAGGCACCGUCUUGUCUCUGUGAUGCUGGGCACACUGCUCCUGUCCUUGAAAUGCCCUUCACCCUUCCUGACUCCUCCCAUGUUCUUAACUUCUGCUUGUUCAUAAGGCCUCUUACCCUGAAUGUCUUCCCUGUUUCCCUCUCACCUGGAUCAGUGCCAUCACUUAUUUUCCCUCUGUACUUCUGUACAUACCCAUCUGGUGCUUAGCAUAUUGGAGCGUGGUGACAGAUUGGCUUGUCCUGUUCCCACGCAAGAUUUCAAGCACCGUAAGGCAGGACCAUGCCUGUCAGAUUGGUAUCUUCCACGUCUAGCCAGUUCUGGCACAUGCUAGACGGGUGCCCAGCUAUGAGAAGCAUGUAACAUGAUGACUAAGAGUCCGGGCUCAGGCCACACUCCAUACCCACUACUAACUGACUGGGUGACAUUGAGCACAUAACCUGACCUCUCAGUGCUUUUGUUUCCUAAUUUGUGAAACAGACAUGAUGAUAGCACCCAGCUCAGGUGUUUCUGUGAGAAGAGAGGAAACUAGAGGCUGGUAAUAUUGGGGUUGAGAGAGUGGCCUCUGAAGCCAGUCACCUGGUGUGAGUCCUGUUCUGCUGCUUACUGUCUAUGUGACCUUGAGCGUGUUACUUAUUCCUGCAUGCCUUUGUUUCCUCAUCUGUAAAAUGGGGACAAUUAUAGUACCUACAGCCUAAGGUUUGUGUAAAUACUGAGUUAAUGAAUGAAAAUGUUUAUAGUAGCAUGUGGCCUUAAAUGUUCAAUUAGUGUUUGAGGGAAUAGACUAUAGAGUUGUUUAUCAGGUAUAUCAGGAAUUGGGACAUGCUUAGCUAGUUCUUGGGCAAGGAGUCUCAUUGAUGACUCUAAGUGGAAGUUACAGUCAAAUGAAUACUUUUAAUUCCCAAAUAAUUUUCAGUGACAGUAACUGUUUCUCUUAAACUCAACUCUGAGUGACUUAUUGUUCCCUGAUUUCCAGAUGUUUUUGUUCAAAGAUUGUAGAAGCCUGUGGUUCAGGGGAUUGGAAGAGAAAAUAGGGAUGAUAAUUUGAAGAAAGCAAAAGGAGGAAGCUUUUCUAAACAAUGAAAAAUGAGAAAACGUUGACCUUUGGCAGUAGGAAUAGAGUGUAGGUGCUGUGUGGAAUAGCAUCUGCUCACGCUCAGGGACAGAAUCUCACUCGGUGUUAUCUUCACACAGUUCUUCAGCCUCUACCUAUAGUUUCAGGUUCCUUUGGGGUCUUAUGGAUUCCCCCAAAGGCAGACCCUGAGGCAAGGGUUCCGAUGCAGAUGUUUAUUUGGGAAGUGAUCCCAGGAAGCACAAGAAAGGUUGUAGGGAAAGUGAAGCAGGGAAAGGUGCCCGUAAAGGGUACAUUAAUGAAUAGGUAUCUGCUAGCGUUUAAAAUAUCAAAGCUGAAUUCCUGAAAAAAAUCUGAACCGAUUUUUCUAUCAAAUUUUAUCUCAAGUAAUGGCAUCCUUCCGGCUGUCCUGGUAGAGCUCUUGGAGACACCCUUAUCUGCUCACCUUAUCCUCUACAGUCAGUCCGUCAGAAAUCCUAAUGACUGCUUCAGUCUCCACUGCUGCUGCCCUGGUCCAGGCGCCAUUGUGUCUCACCUGCAUCACUGAGGUAGACUCCUAACUGGUCCAGUCUGCCAUCGUGUCUCCCCUGGAUCUUUGCAUUAGAGCCCUAGCCCAUCCAGACACCAUAGUGUCUUGUGGAUCAUUGCAGUAGAUUCCUAGCUGGUCCAGGCCACCAUCGUGUCUCACCUGUUUCAUUGCAGCACAAUCCUAGCUGGCCCCCCAGCUUCCACCCUUUCCCUAUUUUCCAUGGUCCAGAUACUUUUAAACAUAAUUCCUCUGCACAGAAUCUUCCCAUGGCUGCCCAGUUACUCCUGGUAAGAAGCACGGUUAUCAACGCGUCCACCCAGCCCUGCACAGCCUCUCCUCGUGUCAUCCUCCAUGGCUUCCUCGGCUGUGCUCCGGCCCUGCUGUUACCUUGGCUCUCCCCUCUGCCUGUAACGCUCUUCCUCAGUGAUCAUCCUCAUGGCUCAUCCUUGCCUUCUUCGGGCCUUCUCAGAUGCCAUUUUAUUGAAUGAAUACGCCCAGGCGAUGGAGGGAUUGCAGCAUUACAUCAACCCAGCACAUGCCAUCUCUCUCCUGAGUGCGCUCAACGAGGAGCGCCUCAAAGGACAGCUGUGCGAUGUGCUUCUGAUUGUUGGAGACCAGAAGUUUCGAGCUCAUAAAAAUGUCUUAGCUGCCAGCAGUGAAUACUUUCAUAGUUUGUUCACAGAUAAGGCGAAUGAGUCACAAACUGUAUUUCAGCUUGACUUUUGUGAGCCAGAUGCUUUUGACAACGUCCUGAACUACAUUUAUUCCUCAUCUCUCUUUGUUGAGAAAGGCAGCCUCGCCGCUGUGCAGGAGCUGGGCUACAGCCUUGGGAUAUCUUUCCUGACUAACAUUGUCUCUAAAACACCUCAAGCACCCUUCCCAAUAUGUCCCAACAGAAAAAGACUAUUCGUAGAACAUGAUGAAAACAGUUCUCAAAAGAGAAGUGUCAUUGUCUGUCAAAGCAGGAAUGAAGCACAAGGGAAGACCGUGAGUCCAAGUCCCCCCGAUCUAAGCCAUACUUCCCGGCCCUCCCCGAGCAUUGCAGUCAAGGCCAAUACCAGUAAGCCACACGUUCCCAAACCAAUUGAACCACUUCAUGAUUUGUCAUCAACUGAAAAGAGUUGGCCAAAGGAUGGUUCUGUGGGAUACGCAAAGCCUCUUGAGCGUUCUGGAUCUUUGGAUGAUACAAACAGAAGCGGUCUGGUGAAAAGGAAUGCAGCCCUGCCUUCUGCACCUCCGCAGGACAGAGAGGCAGUGGAUGACAGGCCCGGAGGAAGCAGUCAGCUGCCCAAAGGAAAAGCUAUAGAGCUGGCUUUGAAAAGGCCACGGCCACCUGUUCUGGCUCUUCGAAGCUCAUCAGAGACCCCCUAUCUAUUAAAAGAAACUAACAGAGGAAAUGGCCCGGGCGAGGACAGGAACUUGUUGUACUAUUCAAAGUUGGGCUUGGUGAUCCCGUCCAGUGGGUCUGCGUCUGCAAACCAGAGCAUCGACAGAAGUGGCCCGCUGGUUAAGAGCCUCCUGCGACGGUCACUGUCGAUGGACAGCCAGGUUCCUGUUUACUCACCCUCAAUAGAUUUGAAAUCUUCCCAGGGGUCACCUGCAGGGCCAAGCGACACACCAGGGAAUGUGUUUUGUGCUAUAUCUCAAAAGUCAUCUUCAAAAGAGGGUAGUGAGAAACCAGCCCCGGGUGAUGGGGCUCCAGCCGCACCGCCACACCGCCUCAGGUCCUUCAGUGCUUCUCAGUCCAUGGAGAGGGAAGGUGCCCCCCCUGUUGCCGAGGUUCGAAUCAAAACAGAGCCCCGGAGCCCCCCGGCGGAUCCCUCCGACAUCAUUCGGGUCACUGUGGGAGACGCCGCCGCGGCAGCGUCCAGCUCAAGAGACCUUACUCUGAAAACAGAAGAUGACCAAAAAGACAUGAGCAGACUCCCAGCAAAAAGGAGGUUCCAGGCGGACCGCAGGCUGCCGUUGAAGAAGCUAAAGGUGGACGCGCACGGCUCUCUGGUGGCGGAAGAGAAUCUUGAGGAAAGCUCAGGCCCCCCUCUCGGCGCAGACUUUCCAGAUUCUGACUUGAGCAGAGAUGCAUUUGGUGAGUCAGAGGGAACAAGACCAAACAGAAAGUUUAAGUGCAGACAUUGCCUUAAGAUCUUUAGGUCAACCGCAGGCCUUCACCGGCACGUUAACAUGUACCACAACCCAGAAAAGCCCUACGCUUGCGACAUCUGUCACAAGCGGUUUCACACAAACUUCAAGGUGUGGACCCACUGUCAGACCCAGCACGGCAUAGUGAGGAACCCAUCGCCGGCCUCCAGUUCACAUGCCGUUCUGGACGAAAAGUUCCAAAGAAAGCUGAUUGACAUAGUGAGAGAGAGAGAGAUUAAGAAGGCCCUGAUCAUUAAGUUGAGGCGCAGCAAGCCCGGUUUUCAGGGGCAGAGUAGUUCCCCAGCUCAAGUCAUCAAGAGGAACUUGAGGUCGCGAGCCAAAGGCGUGUACAUUUGUACUUACUGUGGAAAGGCCUAUCGCUUUCUCUCUCAGUUCAAACAGCACAUAAAGAUGCACCCGGGAGAGAAGCCCCUUGGAGGACACAAGGUCGCUAAGCCGAAAGCGCCCGCUCUUGACGGUCCGGUAGAGAGCAAGGAGGUUUUCCAGUGCCGCCUCUGUAACGCUAAGCUCUCUUCUCUCCUAGAGCAAGGCAGCCAUGAGCGACUGUGCCGAAAUGCCACCGUGUGCCCCUACUGCAGCCUUAGGUUCUUUUCGCCUGAGCUCAAGCACGAGCACGAGAGCAAGUGUGAGUACAAGAAGCUGACGUGCCUCGAGUGCAUGCGCACCUUCAAGUCCUCCUUCAGCAUUUGGCGGCACCAGGUUGAAGUCCACAAUCAGAACACCAUGGCUCCAGCUGAAAACUUCUCCUUACCCCUCCUAGACCACAACGGAGAAGUCCCCAGCUCCUCCAGGCCCCAGGCCCAGCCUGAACCUCAGAAAGCAAACCACGUUGUCGCAGCAAAGGAUGACAGCGCCUUCAGUGACUGCUCAGAGCAAGUCAACUUCGAUUCAGAAGAUUCCUCCUGUCUCCCCGAAGACCUCAGCCUUUCGAAGCAACUGAAGAUCCAAGUCAAAGAGGAGCCUUUGGAGGAAGCUGAGGAAGUGGCGCCUGAGGCCAGCACGGCUCCCAAAGAGGCAGCUUCGAGCAAGGACCCGGGACUAUGGCCCUGUGAGAAGUGUGGCAAGACCUUCACGGCGCCCAAGCAGCUGGAGCGGCACCAGGAGCUCUUGUGUUCCGUGAAACCCUUCAUCUGUCACGUCUGCAACAAGGCUUUUCGCACCAAUUUCCGGCUCUGGAGUCACUUCCAGUCCCAUAUGUCUCAGGCUACAGAGGACUCGGCACAUAAAGAAUCUGAAGCGUGCCCUGUUCCCACAAACUCUCCGUCACCGCCGCCUCUGCCCCCACCCCCACCACUGCCCAAGAUCCAGCCCCUGGAGCCCAACAGUCCAACGGGUGUGUCUGAAAAUGCAGCUCCGGCCACAGAGAAACUGUUUGUGCCCCAGGAAUCAGACACACUUUUUUACCAUGCCCCACCCCUUUCAGCAAUCACAUUUAAAAGACAGUUCAUGUGUAAACUUUGCCAUAGGACAUUCAAGACCGCAUUUAGUCUUUGGAGUCAUGAACAAACCCACAAUUGAAAGACCUCCCCUUUCACCUGUAACGAAUGGGGGCGGUCUCCAGAUUUCAGCCUAAGUUGUGAAAUGCAUCAUAAGAAGCAAAAUAUUUUUUACAAAAGAAUAAUAAAGGUUGGAAAUUGUUAUACUUGAGUAUAAGUUUGAGGUAAACUGAUGUUAAUUAGUAAUGUCCUUACUCAACUUAGGAAAACUCUAAAAAAUACUGUGUUUCUGGUCCUUGCAGUCACAGGACGACCUGACUUCAUUGAUGUUGAAAUUGAUUGGUCUUGGCUGUUUGCAUGGUUCCUCAUUCCACAGUAUCGGUAUAGUCUCCUACUUGGGGUGGUUUUGUUUGCUUACUGAUUUGCAGUUAGUGAAGUACUAACUGAUUUGCAGUUAAAGGAUUUCUUCUUUUGAUUAUAUCAGACACCUAAGUUCUAGUUAAGUCUCAGCCAUGUUCUUAAGUCCAGAACUCAUCAGGAAGGAGUGGAGUAGUUUGCAGUGUUGAUUUAGGUCUUUAGAAUACUCUAGCAAUAAAAAAAUGAUAAACCUCAACUUUAACAAGUUAGAUCCUGACACUUGAUAAAAAAUAUUUGGCAUUUCGUGGUCAUGUAGAACUCUUGUAUGAAAAUUGUGAGAAAUUUACAUCAGCAAUAGUAAUACUUAGGUUUUUGUAAGAGAAAAACUUGCUCUUGGGUCAUUUAAUGUAAUUAUUGAUGGAAAACCUGGGAGAUGAAAAUGUUGAGAUUUCUGGGAGGCCUCUGAGGUCGUUUUACAGGCUUCAGCACUGACUGGCUCAGUACUCAGGCUUCUGCUGCGUUCUGUCCAUGUCACAGUUCCAAGUUCAGCCCAGCAUCGGAAGGACUUAAAGAUUUGGUUUUCUCUGGCUUAUGCUGCCACACAUUGAAAAAUCUGAGUGUAUUUGGGACAAAGAUAACAUGGCACCGAUUUUGAAAUUAACAACAUUAGUAUAACAAAUAAGGUCAGGACCUAUAUUCACAGAGUCAGCCCUGUGACUCUGAAUCCCUGAAUUCCCAAUCACCACUUCCAGAGGCUCAAAGCAGAGGGAGAAACCCCACACUGCAGUCUGCACGUGCUUUUCAGAAACGAUGUUGACAAUAUGCAGUUUCCUACCUCUUUGUCUUGUGAUUGGUUCUGUUAGAGUUUGUUGGAGUUUGUCGUGGUAAAACAUCCAUAGUGAAACCAUCCUGCUUUAGGCCACUGCUUAGCGUUUUCUAAGUAGGUGUUAAAGUACUAUCAAGGGUCCAGAAUUAGUUUUUCUUUCUUCUUUUGGCCCAUGGGGUUUGGGCUUGUUUUUUUCUAUUUUGUAUAAGUUGUAAUGAAAAGCCUUUCAGUAGGUGUUAUCCAAAGUUCAAGAGGCUGUUUCAAAAGGAACAAUUUUUAUUUCAUUUGUGUGGGGUGGUUAGACAUAGGAAAGUAGGAAAAUUGGGGGAAACACAAAAUCCUUUUAAGGUAGUGAUAUGGGUUAAGACUCCCAAGUUUAUUAUUUUUUUUAUAAGUUAUUCUUUCAAAUAAAAAAUUAACUGCUGUGAGUAAGAAAUACUGUACUGGGUACUUAAAUUUGUCUCCAGCAGAAAAGAACUCCUCCUCCACCUCACUGCCCACAUUCCAGAGUGAAGGUGGUGGGAAAGACCUUCUCUUUGUCUGAAAUAAGCAUUUUUGUAAAAUACUAAUUGACUUUGUACAUUAUAGAAAUUGCAUAUGAAUUUCUACCUUUUAUUCUUUCAUUUGAAAACUCAGAAGUCCCAAAAUAUUUGUGUAGUUACUUCCUGUUUCUGCUCUUACCUUAAACUUGAUGGCAAAAGGAAAGUAAAAUUAAGUUACAGUUAAUGGUUAUCAGCAUCUUUAUGUUUUCUUGAAGAAAUCUAUGCAUUUUAAAGACCAAGCUAAAGCAUACAAUUUUAUGUCAGACAUUAGGAUGUAUUAUUGUCCGUCGAGUUCGUUCCCUGUGCGAUGUGGUGGUUCUUACUCUGAACACCUGGGUAGCUAUCACUUCAGGAGACAGUUUCCCUCAGAGUGGUCAUCGCUUUGGCUGGUUGAGUGUCUAACAAUCCCGUGACACGGUAUCUUGGCAUUGUAAAUUCAGCAUCCAGGACUUGAACCUUUAUGCCACUUUUGUGAGGUUUUUUAAUAAAAGUUAAUCAGUAAAAAAUAUUUUUGAUCUAAAUAGAGGCUCUGCAAAUCUCUUAGGCUUUAAGAGUUGCCAGUGAUUUGACUUGUUAGCCCACAUUUUUGUCUAGGCAAGGAACAUAAGAUUUCAGAUAAAAUUUUGAACCAAAAACAUUUAUAAUGCAGUUCUGGUUUUUCUAUUACUUUUUAUACUGUACCUUAAAAAAGCAUUAGGCUGAAAGAGUUUAUUUUGGUGGUCAAAAUAAAUUAUGCUUCCACUUGUGUAACUAUUUUAAACAUUAAGAAGUAAAAUAAUGAGAGACAAGUUAAUUGCUUUAUUCAAUAAGCAGGUUUCUAGGAAUUUUCCUUGGUAGGCAAAUACUUGGUAUAAGACAGCUUGGUCUUUCAUUGUUGCUGCUCUUUAGCAAAUAUAUUCUUGAAAACGUUUUUUCUGAUUGUAAUUUGUUUUUGAAAAUGUAGAAAGCUCAUUAUUCCUUAUAAGAAAGUGUUCAGGUUGCCUGCUUUUUUAUGCAGUUGUGGAAAGAAUGUAAGAUGUUUUAAUAUAUUCUUUGUUGAUCUGAGAACUUGUUACUGAGUCAUUUUCUUCACGCUGGGAAGGUAGGGAACAUCGUAAAAUGCGUGUUUUUAUCAAGGUAAGCAAUGGAGGCAACAAAUAGUGCACAUUUUUUAUAGUAAUGUUUCAAGAUGAGUAGAGUAUUUCCCUUUAAAACUGGUUAUGAUUCGUAUGCAAUUAUACUUUUAUCAAAAUAUACACUUGAUAAGUCAACUGUGAUGUCAUGUGCAUCUGUGAGGAGAUGUGCGUGGUCCUUGGCUCCUGAUCUGGAACCGGUCGUAAUAGCCUUCUCUUUAAAAAUAUGCUCCAGCAGUUACUGGGGAUACUUUAAUCCAUACUCUGCACCCACUGGUGCUGAGAAUACAACAUGGCCUUCCAUGGAGGCAGGGGGCAUUUUCACCUGUGGGCCACCGGACGGGGUGAGGGGAGAGAUUAAUUCUGAAGUCAGCCCUGUUCCCUGUGCGUGUAUGUGUGUGUGCGUGGAUGUGCGUUCAUGUGGGUGUGCGUGUACACAUGCAACCAUAAUCUGAAACUCUAGGAAGUAAAUUUGAAUUUUCUUAAAACGUAAUUAGAUGUCAUCCUUUACAGGUGUCUUUAUAAAUUGCACUAGUUAAUAUUGGAAUAUUACGAGUCCAUUUCAUCAGUUUCUGAUGUCUCGAUGUUUUUGCAAUAAUUGUGAAAAGCAUUGAUUUAAAUAAUGCUAACACAUUCUUUACUAAGUUCUUUAACACUGGCCUUUUUAAGUUUUAGAGAUGGAUUUUUCUCUUGUGGCUCUAGCACUUUAAGAAGUUUGGUGUUUGCCUGGUUUUUGCCAUGUUUGUUCAGUGCUCAGUGUUCUCGGCUCCGGGGUUUCCACCCAGCUGGGAGGGACCGGACAGGACAGGGCCAGCGGCGUGUGGGUCUAGAGGAGAAAGUGAGUGUCGGCUUUUCAGCAACUCCUCGGAGAGAUGGUCACUCGGGAACCAAAGCAUUUUCCUGUAAAUCUGUAAAAUAGUUGAACUCAGUGCUCUUUGUUCAUCUAUUAGUGCCGUCCAGGUUUUCCAGUCAUACUUGGUUAACACUGAUUUUCAAAAAGUGAUAAUUUCUUAUUGACAUUAAUCCAAGACUUACUUCAAAACUUUCAUUAAAUAAAUGCUUAUUGUUGAAAGAAAAGCAAAUGUGGUUUUAAAAUUGUGUAUAUUUUGUUGUUAUAUCCUUUGCAGAAUAUUUUGUUGUUUGAUUUUAUUUAGGAAUAAGCUUCUUUGGACAAAUAGGAUUUCUGUGGAAUGUUAGCUCAUUGCUUAUUCAUAUCCAAUUCUGUUGUCUGUUUACUUUGCUUAAAUCUUGACUAAGAAUGAUGGGAGUCAAUAAAUUUGUACUGUAUUUUGUUUUGAG